AACGUCUUCAACUUCUCAGACGAAGAGGAGAAGCUGCAGUGGACUCCAGCCGAGUUCCGGAGGCUCCGCAUCCAGCCGCUCGACUUCGUACGCGCCGUCUUCACGGCCCUGGUGUUCCUCACCGUGGCUUUCAGCGACGUGGCGCUGCAGAACUGUUUCUUCCCAAGUGCCGGCAGGAACACCGAGGAGCUUUUGAAGAACCUGCCACUGGGCAUCGCAUUUCUGUCCAGUUUCGUGUUCAUGAUCUUCCCCACAAAGAGGAAGGGCAUUGGCUACACCGACACCACUCCUCGCCAAAAGCUCACUUGA
rnacentral:rRNA from 1 species